AAUAACGAAACGCAGCUUUUUUUUUCUAUGUUAUGGGUGCGUGCAUUUGUGUUGUCCGGUGUUUGAAGACGCUUUGGAAUUCGCUUUCAAUUUCUUUGUAGGAAAAAUGUCGGGUGAUACCGAUAAAGCGAAAAUCAGUGACAAUCAGGAUGAAGACAAGAAGUCUGGGGCUGGCGAUGGUCAAACCACAGAAGAUGAAUCCUCUCAAGACUCUAAGGGUGAGUCUCUGGCACAGACAGAGGCCCAAGGUAACACCGAUGUAGAUCAACCAAUAACAAAAGAGGAAGACAAUCAGCCAGAUGCAGAAGGAGAUUCAAAGUCGGCAACUGCCAACGGUAAGGACGACCCAGGCGCCGACGAUUCCAAGGACGACAAACGGGAUGUGAAAACAGAUGGCGAUGCUAAAAAGGAGGAGAACGGUGAAACGCACGAUGACGAUGAUAAGGAUGAUCUGAAAGAGAACGAUAAAGCAGCAAAGAAGACCGUCUCCAAGAAGAAGCCUAAGAAAGAGGAUACUGAAGAGGAGGAUGAGGAUGAGGAAGAAGAUGACGAGGAGGAAGAAGGAGAAGAAGGAGACGAGGAAGAUGAAGCAGAUGAUAAGAAAUCUAAACCUAAAGAGAAAGUAAAGAAGCCAGCAAAGAAAGCCAAGGAUGAAGAUGAUGAAGGUGAUGAAGAAGGAGAUGAGGAGGGUGAAGAAGAAGAGGAGGAGGAAGAGGAAGAGGAGGCGCCUAAACCCAAACCUAAAAGAGAGCCAAUAGAGCCGCCUGUCCCACUGCCAGCCGGAAAGGGUAUCCCUCUCGGUCACAUUAGCAACGUGGAAGUAUCGCUGUCGCGUUUCAAGACUCAGGACCAGAAAUUAUUGCAUCAGUAUUUAUAUGGCCAACUAUGUUUAGACCGUAAUGUGAAACGUAAUAUCAAGAAAUUCAAAGGCUAUGAAUGGGCAAUUGGUUCAACGGAGUACAAAGCAAAAUUGGAAGAGACCAGCAAGAUGGAGAUGAAACAAUUGCGCACCAUGUGUGAGAUGCUCGACUUGGAUAAAAAAGGAGGCGCCAACGAGUUAGCGGGGCGACUAGUGGCAUUCUUGCAGCAGCCGGCAGCGAACUCUCCACACGCCCGUGGCGUCGCCCGCCCCCCGCCUGCAGCCGCGCCGCCCUCUACACCUGGCGGCCGUCCGCGACGGUCCGCUGCCGUCAAAGUGCAUAAUAGAGGAUACUCUGAUGAGGAAUAUGAAACUGACCCAGAAACAAAGGUCAAGGGUCCAAAACUGCCUAAAGAUGGAUCAGAAGAUUCAGAUGGUUCAUUUAACCCCAGUGGUUCGGAAGAGGGUGAUUCCGAUUUCGAUCCAGAAGCGGGAGAAAGCGCGAGCGGAGUCGGGCGUAAACGCAAGAGUAGUGGGCGUCGCCGCUCGUCGGGCAAACCUGGCAAGCGGGGUCGCAAACCCAAGGGCAAAAAGGGCAAGGUGACAUCUGUUAAAGGCCGUGGAAGACGAGCCAAAUCUGAUAGUGAUGAAGAAAGUGAAAAGUCAGAGAGUGAGAGUGAACAGGAAUCUGGAAGCGAAGGGGAAGAGUCUGAUGAACCUAAAUCGAAGCGCGGUCGGCCGGCGGCAGUGGCGAAGGGCCGCAAAGGUGCAGUGGGCAAAGCUGCUAAUGCGAAGGCCACACCCGUCAAACGAAAAGCGCCUACGCCGCCCGCCAAGAAAAAGCCAGCUGCCAAACCUGCUGGUCGUCCUGCCGGAAAAAAGGCUAAGAAAGCGUCCUCAGAAGAGGAGUCCGCUAGUGAAGAGGAGGAGGAGGAGGGAAGCGAGGAGGAAAGCGGCGAAGAUUCCGAUUCCCCUGCUGAUAAGAAAGCCAAACGGCCGCCUACUGACGAUGAAAUAAAGAAGUACGUGAAGCAGAUAUUAGAGGGCGCUAACCUGGAACAGAUCACAAUGAAGACAGUGUGCAAGCAAGUGUAUAGCCACUACCCGGACUUUGAUCUCGCACACAAAAAGGACUUCAUCAAGGCCACAGUCAAGUCGUGUAUUUAAGAUGUUAGGAGUUAAGGGCGGAGUGUAGAUGUCUGCAUAGUAUACCUAUAGUUUAUAAAAGGACAUAGUUAUAUAUUAUUACAAUAAUAAUAUAUUAUGAAAAAGUAAAUAACUGAAAUGGAAUGGAUAUACAACUGCUUUUCUUUAUAAGCUCAUAUCAUCGUGAGCAGUGACCAGUCGGCCGCAAAACAUAAAUAGUCAAGUAAGAUACGCAACUUAAACAUUUAGACUAAUACCCGACGUCGCGUCUGUGGCUUAACUCAACUUAGUUUCUGUAACACGCCUUGAUUGCAAUGCCUGUUAAGCUGAAGGCACGAAUCAUGAGUGUUGGCUGAUUAUGCACAGAUACGAUUUUAUAUAAAAAAAAAGGCUUCUGUGCAACUAAAUGAUCAUGAUGCGUAUCGGAAACCUAAUGAUGUAUAUGUAAACGAAUUUUAAAAACCGUUAACAAUUCAAUUAAGUGUUUCAAGUGUUACGAAAGCUAUCAAUUUAGAGUCUCUACCGGUAUAAGAUAAAAUCGAAAAUAUUAAAAUUGAAAAUGUAAAAAAAACCAAAGUAUUUUAGUAUGAAAAUUGUAGUGUCUUUAAAAUUAGUAAUAUUGUAAUUUAUGUUACGUAAGGUAAUAACCUCUCCCCUUCGCUCCUUUUAUCAAUAAUACCGGAAAUGUUAACGGCUCUACGUAUGCUUAUAUAAUACUUGAACAGUUAUGUUUGCAUAGGCGUUACGAUCAAGGAUCUCAAUUCAGUUGGUGACAUUUGUCAGUUUCUGAUGUAGGCGGCCACGGCGCGGCUUGGACUAUGUAAUUUUAUGUUGUAGGAAUAAUUCCCUCUAGUGUAAGUAUAAUCUGAGUUCAAGAACUCUAGAGCUUCUAAGGAGUUUUAUGUUCACUGUGCCUGUAAUGGGGACUUUUAAAGUGAUAGUAUAUCACAAUUCCUUAUGUUUUGUUGUGUUUGAACGUAACCCGUGCGUUGAGUGCCUUACUAUCGAAACCACAAAUUGUUAUAUAUUUUUUAACUUUAUUUUAUUUUAUAGACAGCCUGUGUCGGGACCAUAUUUUGUUGACGCAGCAUUCAGUGCACGGUUUACUUCAACGGGUCAAUCUAAGUACAUGUUGUUUUAUGUAAAUUUCCAUCAUUGUACAAAGUUCAGAUGUAUCCGUAUAUCGGCCGCGUUUGUUUGUUUUAAAAAUCGUUGUCGAUUGUUUAAAAAGAAUUCGGAAAGUAAGUUUAUUUUUAAUACGAAUCUAGGUUGUAAAAGUGUUCUUUUGACGUCUGGCACUAUCGCAAAUUUAAGCUAUUCAUUUUAAGAUCGACUAAGUGUAUUUUAAGAGGUGUAAAUAAAUACACAGGACUUGCAUUGUUCGGGGCUAUGUUCGUAUUGGUUGCGGCGUGACGUAUUUUAGUAAAUACGGGAGAUUACGUGCCAGUAUCUUCCAUAUAUUUUUAUAUUUUGGCGUGGAAUUAUUAAUGCGGACAAAACGAUGGUCAAGUUUUCAGUGUUCUUUUAUAAUUAUAGACUGUCCGAUUAUUUCGAAUAUAUAUUUUUAUUUAUAUACUUUUACCUUCUUAUAAAAAUUAUUUAAUUUAUUUUAAUAAUUGUAUUAAUUUUAUUAGGUUUGACUUCGGAUACGAUAUAGUAAUGUUAGGUUUUUAUUUAUUAUACUUCAUUGUGAGGCAAUUUAUACAGAUCUAGAAAUUGCAGCAAUGUUUGUAGUGUUCAAAUGUGUGAAAACUUGCCGUUCGUUUUACGCUCAAGUCCAAAUAAAGUACUAGUUAUUGUAAUUGGCAUCAAUUCACAAACAGAUCCAGGUAAUUCUACUGUAAUAGUGCAAUAAAAUGUAACAGUAAUUGAGAGUUUAUGUAAUCAAAUAAUGUGGGACAUUGAAUUAAUCAUAUCAAUAUUUUUGUGGGCGUCUACUCUAGUUCCAUUCAUUACAAUACACUGUAGUCAGCAUUGAGCCGUUUCAUUUUACGUUAGGUGCUUUUAUAGCAUUUCUUUUUGUAAUUUGUGGCCGAAAUAGUCGCUAAGUCCGUGGUGAGCUAUUCUAGGUUAGUAGGAUUGAGCGGACGGAGACAUACACAACGCGUUGCCUAAUACUGAUAUUAUUUUGUCUAUAUUCGAUAUUUUCACUAUUAAGUGACGCAUUGUCAAGGCGUUCCUUUUCAAUGCACUGAUAAGGAUGGCCAAUUAUAACGUUCUUUUUGAUUUACGUUAGUGUCCUAGAAAUCUCUCGGUGCGCGCAAUCCUUAUUAUUCUAAGCUAGAUAUAAUCAACAUUAAAUGUGUAUUUGUGAAUUUUUAACCUUAUUUCGGUUGAUGUUUCUUUAUAAAUGUGUAAAUGGUUGAGAUCAGUAGUGGCGUAGUGACACGGAGUGAUAGAGUGACUGGUACCCCCUUUUACAAUUGGAAUAUAGAUAAUAAAGUAAAUAAAAGUUUGA